rnacentral:rRNA from 1 species
UACGUAGGGUGCAAGCGCUGUCCGGAAUUAUUGGGCGUAAAGAGCUCGUAGGCGGUUUGUUGCGUCGGCUGUGAAAUCCCGAGGCUCAACCUCGGGUCUGCAGUCGAUACGAGCAAACUAGAGUGUUGCAGGGGAGACUGGAAUUCCUGGUGUAGCGGUGAAAUGCGCAGAUAUCAGGAGGAACACCGGUGGCGAAGGCGGGUCUCUGGGCAACAACUGACGCUGAGGAGCGAAAGCGUGGGGAGCGAACAGG